rnacentral:rRNA from 1 species
UACGAAGGGGGCUAGCGUUGCUCGGAAUCACUGGGCGUAAAGGGUGCGUAGGCGGGUCUUUUAAGUCAGGGGUGAAAUCCUGGAGCUCAACUCCAGAACUGCCUUUGAUACUGAGGAUCUUGAGUUCGGGAGAGGUGAGUGGAACUGCGAGUGUAGAGGUGAAAUUCGUAGAUAUUCGCAAGAACACCAGUGGCGAAGGCGGCUCACUGGCCCUAUACUGACGCUGAGGCACGAAAGCGUGGGGAGCAAACAGG